UUGUAACUAAAGUGGUUGCAAUUUUUUUAGCUACAAUGUCGGCCAGUUUUGGUCAAGACUAUAAUCCAGAAGAUUUUUUUGAAAUAUAUUUGGACUUCCCCGAGGACACCACAAAUAUUACCAAUAUGUAUUUGAGUUGUCAGUGAGUAGACACCUCCAAAGAGAUGAUCCCGAAGAGUUUGUUGCGAAACCUUUAAAUAAUUGUUUGUAAACUUGUUAUUAAUAAAUUUGAGCAUGUA